CUACGGGGGGCACCAGUGGGGAAUAUUGGACAAUGGACCAAAAGUCUGAUCCAGCAAUUCUGUGUGCACGAUGAAGGUCUUCGGAUUGUAAAGUGCUUUCAGUAGGGAAGAAGAAUGUGACGGUACCUACAGAAGAAGCGACGGCUAAAUACGUGCCAGCAGCCGCGGUAAUACGUAUGUCGCAAGCGUUAUCCGGAAUUAUUGGGCAUAAAGGGCGUCUAGGUGGUUUACUAAGUCUGAUGUGAAAAUGCGGGGCUCAACUCCGUAUUGCGUUGGAAACUGGUUUACUAGAGUCUUGGAGAGGUGGGCGGAACUACAAGUGUAGAGGUGAAAUUCGUAGAUAUUUGUAGGAAUGCCGAUGACGAAGGUAGCUCACUGGACAAGUACUGACACUAAAGCGCGAAAGCUAGGGGAGCAAACAGGAUUAGAUACCCCGUAGUC
rnacentral:rRNA from 1 species